GACGAACGCUGGCGGCGUGCCUAAUACAUGCAAGUAGAACGCUAAAGGCGUAGCUUGCUCUUCUGGUUGAGUUGCGAACGGGUGAGUAACGCGUAGGUAACCUGCCUUGUAGUUUGGGAUAACUUUUGGAAACUAUGGCUAAUACCGCAUAAAAUUUAUUGUUGCAUGAUAGUCGUUUAAAAGUUUCAAUUGCAUCACUACCAGUUGGACCUGCGGUGUAUUUGCUAGUUGGUGAGGUAUCGGCUAACCUUGGCAACGAUACAUAGCAGACAUGAGACGGUGAGUGGCCAGACUGGGAGUGAGACACGGCACAGAGUGAUAGAGGAAGCAGCAGUAGGGAAUCGGCGGGAAUGGACGGAAGACUGACCGAGAAAGGCGGAGUGAGGGAAGAGGGAUGUCGGGUGGUAAAGGACGGUUGUAAGAGAAGAACGAGUGUGAGAGUGGAAAGUACACAGUGUGACGGUAUCGGACAAGAAAGGAACGGCUAACUACGUG
rnacentral:rRNA from 1 species